rnacentral:rRNA from 1 species
AGAGUUUGAUCCUGGCUCAGAUUGAACGCUGGCGGCAGGCCUAACACAUGCAAGUCGAGCGGCAGCGGGAAAGUAGCUUGCUACUUUUGCCGGCGAGCGGCGGACGGGUGAGUAAUGUCUGGGAAACUGCCCGAUGGAGGGGGAUAACUACUGGAAACGGUAGCUAAUACCGCAUAACGUCGCAAGACCAAAGAGGGGGACCUUCGGGCCUCGCACCAUCAGAUGAACCCAUAUGGGAUUAGCUAGUAGGUAAGGUAACGGCUUACCUAGGCGACGAUCCCUAGCUGGUCUGAGAGGAUGAUCAGCCACACUGGAACUGAGACACGGUCCAGACUCCUACGGGAGGCAGCAGUGGGGAAUAUUGCACAAUGGGCGCAAGCCUGAUGCAGCCAUGCCGCGUGUAUGAAGAAGGCCUUCGGGUUGUAAAGUACUUUCAGCGAGGAGGAAGGCAUUAAGGUUAAUAACCUUGGUGAUUGACGUUACUCGCAGAAGAAGCACCGGCUAACUCCGUGCCAGCAGCCGCGGUAAUAC